rnacentral:tRNA from 1 species
GGCUCGGUAGCUCAGUUGGUAGAGCAACGGAUUGAAGCUCCGUGUGUCGGCGGUUCGAUUCCGUCCCGAGCCACCA